UCCCUGGUGGUUUAGAUGGUAAAGAAUUUGCCUGCAAUGCAGGAGACCCAGGUUCAACCCCUGGACUGGGAA
rfam:TPA: Bos taurus chromosome 22, whole genome shotgun sequence.